rnacentral:rRNA from 1 species
CAGCCGCCGCGGUAAUACGGAGGGUGCAAGCGUUAUCCGGAUUUAUUGGGUUUAAAGGGUCCGUAGGCGGAUCUGUAAGUCAGUGGUGAAAUCUCACAGCUUAACUGUGAAACUGCCAUUGAUACUGCAGGUCUUGAGUAAAUUUGAAGUGGCUGGAAUAAGUAGUGUAGCGGUGAAAUGCAUAGAUAUUACUUAGAACACCAAUUGCGAAGGCAGGUCACUAAGAUUUAACUGACGCUGAUGGACGAAAGCGUGGGGAGCGAACAGGAUUAGAGACCCCGGUAGUCCCUGUCUCUUAUAC